GCGUGUGAUUCUGAGGCUAUUCCCUGAGUUAACAUGGCUGCGGCUGGCCAGCCGCUGGGACACCCUUGAGGAAAGAAGACGAGGUUUGUCCGAGGCUUCGGCUGCGAUCUCCUCAGCGAUGGCGCUUCGGUCGCGGCUCUGGGAGUUGUCUUCGGUUUGCAGGAACCCGGGAUGUGGGGUGGCGGCUCUCUCAACCAGUUCCAAGCCAUUGGUGAAGCCUGAAGCGGACGUUGUGGAAAAUGAAGCUGUUGCCCCAGAGUUCACCAACCGGAACCCCCGGAAUCUGGAGCUCUUGGCUGUGGCCAGAAAAGAGCGGGGUUGGAGGACAGUGUGGCCCUCCCGGGAGUUCUGGCACAGGUUGAGAGUCAUAAGGACUCAGCAUCAUGUAGAAGCAUUUGUGGAACACCGCAGUGGCCAGGUUGUGGUUUCAGCAUCCACCCGUGAAUGGGCUAUUAAAAGGCACCUUUAUAGUACCAAAAACGUGGUGGCUUGUGAGAGUGUGGGACGAGUGCUGGCAGAGCGAUGCUUAGAAGCAGGAAUCAACUUCAUGGCCUACCAACCAACUCCUUGGGAGGCAGCCUCAGACUCGACCCUACGGUGAGUAUCCAGAUGUAUGUCACCUCACAUCAUCCUCACGGCAGCCCAUAGCAUCCGGACUGGCGUUCCUGCUUCUGUAUAAAUUCAAACGACUAGAGAGUGCUAUGACAGAAGGUGGUGUGGUGCUGCAGGAGCCUCGGAGAAUCUAUGAAUGAAACAAGCACUGUUCGGAACUUGUAAAUAUAAAGCUGUCAGCUACUCGUCCACUAGAAGACAGCAUCAGGAAGAACCGCUGGCCUGGACGUUCCAUACACUGACCUGACGGCAGAGUGUCGCUAGUAGUUCAGGUCCUCUCCGUCUCCCCUUGUGUGUGUGUUUUAAAUCAAGGGCUAAAUUCUUCCUCUCUAUUGAGACAUGAGAGAAGUUAUCUGAGAAAAGCUGUUGCCAAUUAUAAUUAACUUUUGAAGGACAAAUUAAAUGUUGUUUAGAAGUUAAAGAAUAAAGGUAUAUUGUAAACUCUUA